rnacentral:tRNA from 1 species
UGAGGGCUGGCUCAGUGGUAGAGUGCUUGCCUCUCAUGCAUGGGGCACUGGGUUUGAGCCUCAGCAUCACAU